CUUCUCUCUAGACGUUCACUCGGUGUGUAUUGUGUACAAAAUACGAACUUGUGGACUAAUUUAGCUAGAUAAAAAUUUGUGUUGUGUGUAAAGCUUCGUUUUUAUGUUUAAUUACGUAAAACAUUUAAGAUGGCUUUUAUGUAUGCAUUAGUUUUAUUUUUAAAUGAUUCGUCCAAUAAAGAAAUUGAUAUAUUGAAUAUCGUGGUACCGGGUGUAAAUAGCCUGAAUCAUUGUUAUAAAGUACUAAGUAUUGUAAAUUAUUACAAACGAUAGUUAAACAUUGUGAAGGGUCUGACCGACAUGGCCAACGUUUUAUGUUCAAAUAAGUGGCACAGCAGAAACAAUGGAAGAGGCAGAGGAAAAAUUAAUAAGAUUAAAAAGAACCCCUAUUCUUCUCUACCAAUAAUGAGUAGUCUGCUAAAGCAAAAGCGGCUGCUGUUGAAAAAACUUUCAAAUUAAAAGCAUUAGCAAAGGAUUGAUUAAAAAUAGAUAAUAUAUUUAGCCAAAUAGCUUUAGAGUUAACUGACGAACCCACUGAAAUUGCAGAACCCAAGAAAUAAAAGCCAUAAAAAUGUAAUCAAAAAAUUGUGAAGAAACAAGCCUAAAAACAUAGUCUCGAAUGGUCAUCUACAUCAAUAGUGUCUUCGAUAUCUUCAUCACCACCGUCAUUGUUAUGUAAA